rnacentral:rRNA from 1 species
CAAAGCUGAAACUUAAAGGAAUUGACGGAAGGGCACCACCAGGAGUGGAGCCUGCGGCUUAAUUUGACUCAACACGGGGAACCUCACCCGGCCCGAACACUGUUAUGACAGACAGGUUGAGAGCUCUUUCUCGAUUCAGUGGUUGGUGGUGCAUGGCCGUUCUUAGUUCGUGGAGCGAUCUGUCUGGUUAAUUCCGAUAACGAACGAGACUCUUGCCUGCUAAAUAGACGGCGUCGACACGAGCGGCGACCGUUCGCUUCUUAGAGGGACAAGCGGCUUUUAGCCGCGUGAAGCAGAGAGCAAUAACAGGUCAGUGAUGCCCUCAGAUGUUCGGGGCCGCACGCGCGCUACACUGUUUGCAUCAGCGUGUUUCUCCCGCGCCGGCUGGCGUGGGCAACCCGUUGAACCGCAAACGUGCUAGGGAUCGGAGAUUGCAAUUGUUCUCCGUGAACGAGGAAUUCCUUGUACUGGCGAGUCAUCAGCUCGCGGGGAAUCUGUCCCUGCCCUUUGUACACACCGCCCGUCGCUACUACCGAUUGAGUGGUUUAGUGAGGCUCACGGACUGCGCGCGGCACUCGGCGCUCUCGGGCGUCGCGCCGCGAUGUGGAAAGUGAGACGAACUUGAUCACUUCUAGGAAGUAAAAGUCGUAACAAGGUUUUCGUAGGUGAACCUGGGAAAAGGA